UACGUAGGGUGCGAGCGUUGUCCGGAAUUACUGGGCGUAAAGAGCUCGUAGGUGGUUUGUCGCGUUGUUCGUGAAAUCUCACGGCUUAACUGUGAGCGUGCGGGCGAUACGGGCAGACUUGAGUACUGCAGGGGAGACUGGAAUUCCUGGUGUAGCGGUGGAAUGUGCAGAUAUCAGGAGGAACACCGGUGGCGAAGGCGGGUCUCUGGGCAGUAACUGACGCUGAGGAGCGAAAGCGUGGGGAGCGAACAGG
rnacentral:rRNA from 1 species